ACGAACGCUGGCGGCGUGCUUCACACAUGCAAGUCGAACGGAAAGGCCCUGCUUUUGUGGGGUGCUCGAGUGGCGAACGGGUGAGUAACACGUGAGUAACCUGCCCUUGACUUUGGGAUAACUUCAGGAAACUGGGGCUAAUACCGGAUAGGAGCUCCUGCUGCAUGGUGGGGGUUGGAAAGUUUCGGCGGUUGGGGAUGGACUCGCGGCUUAUCAGCUUGUUGGUGGGGUAGUGGCUUACCAAGGCUUUGACGGGUAGCCGGUCUGAGAGGGUGACCGGCCACAUUGGGACUGAGAUACGGCCCAGACUCCUACGGGAGGCAGCAGUGGGGAAUAUUGCACAAUGGGCGGAAGCCUGAUGCAGCAACGCCGCGUGCGGGAUGACGGCCUUCGGGUUGUAAACCGCUUUCGCCUGUGACGAAGCGUGAGUGACGGUAAUGGGUAAAGAAGCACCGGCUAACUACGUG
rnacentral:rRNA from 1 species